AUGAUACGCGGAUACUUCGCAAAACUCACGUACCGGUAUCGGAUACCGUAUCAGAUACCCGUACUCCCUGGAUACGUAUCCCGUAAGUAUCGGACUAUUUAGGUAUUUUCAAAUAAUAAAAAUAAAUCGGAUACUCGUGGGAUACCUGUGGAUACCUGUCCGAUACCUUCAAACCCUAACAACACCACUCAAUCGCUUCGUAUAAAGGUCCUCCGUUCAGCUG